rnacentral:lncRNA from 1 species
CUUUCACUAUAGAAUAACGAAAGCUUUUAUCUAAAUACAUCGGAAGCACACGCUGGUUGAACAAAUAAAUGAAUCAGUAAAGACACUUGUAUUAACCACAUAGAAAUCAUGCACUCCUCUCAAUUUUGUCCAAUCUUCUGAAAGUUGGAUAACAAUGAGAAGUCAUAGCUAGAAGACUGGACCCUUUCUUCUAUUACUUGCAUUCUGUGACAAA